rnacentral:rRNA from 1 species
ACUGCUCAGUAACACGUGGAUAACCUGCCCUGCGGUGGGAAAUAACCCCGGGAAACUGGGGAUAAUGUCCCAUAGGCUACGGAUGCUGGAAUGCUCUGUAGCUCAAAGAUUUAUCGCCACAGGAUGGAUCUGCGGCCGAUUAGGUAGUUGUUGGGGUAACGGCCCAACAAGCCUUUGAUCGGUACGGGUUGUGGGAGCAAGAGCCCGGAGAUGGAUUCUGAGACACGAAUCCAGGCCCUACGGGGCGCAGCAGGCGCGAAAACUUUACAAUGCGGGAAACCGUGAUAAGGGAACUCCGAGUGUCCGUAAAUGCGGACUGUCCGUAUGUCUAAAAAGCAUGCGAAGAAAGGGCCGGGCAAGACCGGUGCCAGCCGCCGCGGUAAUACCGGCGGCUCGAGUGGUGGCCACUAUUACUGGGCUUAAAGCGUUCGUAGCUGGGUCGUUAAGUCUCUUGGGAAAUCUACCGGCUUAACCGAUAGGCGUCCAAGGGAUACUGGCGAUCUAGGGACCGGGAGAGGUGAGGGGUACUUCAGGGGUAGGAGUGAAAUCCUGUAAUCCUUGGGGGACCACCUGUGGCGAAGGCGCCUCACCAGAACGGCUCCGACAGUGAGGGACGAAAGCUGGGGGAGCAAACCGGAUUAGAUACCCGGGUAGUCCCAGCCGUAAACGAUGCGCGUUAGGUGUAUCGAUGACCACGAGUCAUCGAGGUGCCGAAGGGAAACCGUGAAACGCGCCGCCUGGGAAGUACGGUCGCAAGGCUGAAACUUAAAGGAAUUGGCGGGGGAGCA